rnacentral:tRNA from 1 species
GGUCUUAUCUGGGAAAAAGCGGUUUUGAAAACCGUUUUGAGGCGUUCAAUUCGUCUGAAGGCUU